CCUGUCCCAUGGGGUCUCUGCAAUCCAGGACCUGUAACCCCGGACAUUGGAGCUGAGUGAUGCAUUUCCGUUGCUUUAAGGAAAAAGGAAAAAAAAUCUGAGAAACAAAGAUAUGCGAGAUUUUCAGAGAAAGAGAGAGAGAGAGCAUGCUUAACCUAGUUAACAGAUUAAACUGUUUUCAACACUACCUGAAAGACCUAGUUACAGGAGGCAAGUGAUUGGACAAUUAUAAAUCUUUCCUAUUCAUUCAUUAAAAGUAGGUCCUGACCAGCUAAUGUUGUGGGAAUCCGAUUGAGUGCUCUGUGGAUUUUCAGGUAAGAAGGUGGCAUUUCUUUAUCGAAGAAGCAUGCUUAGUCUCAGCAUUUGCAAGAUGCAAGACGAUUUCUUAGACAAUGCGGAAUAGAGAGGUUGUAUCAUAUUAACAUGCAGUUUAUGUCUAGCGCUGGAUCUUGCUUCGCUUUCUCUUUGUUGUAAACAUUCCUGGGAGAGUUAGAGUGGCGGUGGCUCGGGCUAUCCCCAUUUCGCUGUUAUUGUUGCCACGCUGCCUGUGAGUGAGUGGUCGUGGAAGCGAGGACAGGCUCUCCUUCUCCCUAAUGCACGGGCCCCUGACUCAGAGCUUCUGCGAGACCUGCUCAAGCUCCCCAAGCCUUCCUCCCUCACAGCCCAGAGACUGCACUCUGGGGGUGACAGCUGCAACGCAGCAGAAGAGAAGGCGCACAGAGACAAAUGGGUGACACCGGAGAGUAGGAAGUCAGCACUGACUGCAGUUAAAACCAAGGCUCUGGAAGGCGCAGGCCCCUCCCUGAGAACCGUCUCAACCCCUGCACAGGAUGGGGAAGAGCUGGGCAUGCUACAGCCAGCCAGAGAGCCAGCCCUGAGCAGUGAAGACCAGUUACCGGGAAACGUGGCGUAUUAGUCAGGGUUCUUCAGAGCAACAGACCUAACGGGAGAUAGACAAGUUCAUAUAAGACAUCAUACAGAGAGAUGAGAUUCGUUAUAAGGAAAUUGCUCCGUGGGAUGCUGGCUGGUGAUAAGCUGCAGGAUCAACAGCGGGCAAGCUGGAGACCUUGGAAAGCUGAUGGUGUGAGUUCCAGUCUGGGUCCAAAGACCUGGGACCCAGGAGGGUAAGUGCUGUAGUUCUGGCCUCAGGGCGGAAGACUGAGGUUGUAGCUCAGCCUUUAUGCCAUCAGUAGAUUGGAUGAGGGCCACUCACACUGGGGAGGGCUCUCUGCUUCACUCUGCCUGUGAUUCAAAUGUCCACACCAUCCAGAAACACCCUUACAGACGCACCCAGAAUAAUGCUUGACCAAAUGUCUGGGCACCCCAUGGCCUACUCAUGACC
rnacentral:lncRNA from 1 species